CUGCCGGUGACAAACCGGAGGAAGGCGGGGAUGACGUCAAGUCAUCAUGGCCCUUACGGGUAGGGCUACACACGUGCUACAAUGGCAGAUACAGAGGGAUGCGAAGGGGUGACCUGGAGCGAAUCUUAUAAAGUCUGUCGUAGUCCGGAUUGGAGUCUGCAACUCGACUCCAUGAAGUCGGAAUCGCUAGUAAUCGCGAAUCAGCAUGUCGCGG
rnacentral:rRNA from 1 species